rnacentral:rRNA from 1 species
AACGUAGGACGCAAGCGUUAUCCGGAGUUACUGGGCGUAAAGGGCAGGCAGGCGGGUCGAUAAGUCGGAUGUGAAAUCUCCCUGGCUUAACCGGGAGAGUGCAUUUGAGACUGUCAACCUGGAGGGCAGCAGAGGAGCGUGGAAUUCCGGGUGGAGUGGUGAAAUGCAUAGAGAUCCGGAGGAACACCAGAGGCGAAAGCGGCGCUCUGGGCUGCACCUGACGCUGAACUGCGAAAGCCAGGGGAGCGAACGGG